rnacentral:rRNA from 1 species
GCAGUCUGCAACUCGAGUGCAUGAAGCUGGAAUCGCUAGUAAUCGCGAAUCAGCAUGUCGCGGUGAAUACGUUCCCGGGUCUUGUACACACCGCCCGUCACACCAUGGGAGUCGGGAAUGCCCGAAGCCGGUGGCCCAACUGAGAGGAGGGAGCCGUCGAAGGCAGGCCGGAUGACUGGGGUGAAGUCGUAACAAGGUACC